CGGAGGGUGCAAGCGUUAUCCGGAUUUACUGGGUUUAAAGGGUGCGUAGGCGGAUAAGUAAGUCCGUGGUGAAAUCCUGCAGCUUAACCGCAGAACUGCCGUGGAUACUAUUUGUCUUGAAUAUCGUGGAGGUUAGCGGAAUAUGUCAUGUAGCGGUGAAAUGCUUAGAUAUGACAUAGAACACCCAUUGCGAAGGCAGCUAACUACGCGAUUAUUGACGCUGAUGCACGAAAGCGUGGGGAUCAAACAGGAUUAGAUACCCUGGUAGUCCACGCCCUAAACGAUGAUUACUCGACAUUGGCGAUACACUGUCAGUGUCUGAGCGAAAGCAUUAAGUAAUCCACCUGGGAAGUACGAUCGCAAGAUUG
rnacentral:rRNA from 1 species